GUGACGACGGCGAUGACGGUGGUGGAAGCAGGCAGGCAAGCAAGCAAGCAAGCAAGCAGGCAGCCAGCCAGGGGCAGGCAUGCAGGCGAGCAGGCAGCUCGGCUGCGCGGCGAGAGCUGCGAGCGGAAAGGGAGGAGGGUAAAGAAGGGACCAAGGGAAAAAGAGUUCAGGCAGGUCUGGGAUCGGACGAGGGUGAAUGCGUGACGGUGUGUGUCGUAGAUACUCUUUAGCCUGGGGAGCGAUGUGCCUCUCCUGCCUACUUGCUUGCCUGCUGCCUACCUUGCAAUGCCUUGCCUUGCGUUGUCUUGCGUUGUCUUGCCUUGCCUCGCCUUUCCUUGCCUCGUCUUGCCUUACCUUCCUUGUAAACCUGCCAACCGAUCGGACGGCCGGACAGCCGGCCACCACGCGUAUCUGUCCGUCUCUCCUUUUUCCCUCUUCUUCUUCUCCCUCCUUUUCCCGCCAACCCUUUAUACAGCUCUUUCACUUCGGCCUUCCCUUUUACGCUGCUCGUAUUCGUCGCUCUCGCUCCUGAUUCCCCUUUGACGAUCGGACGAUCGGCCACACGGUGAUAGAAACACGACGGCAAGAAGGAAGAGGCGCGCGGGUAGUCGGUCGAAGCUUUCAAGCCUAAAUUUAGGCGUCCGCCGGAAGUACGCGUAGCGGAGGAAGUUCCGUGCACCGGGCCCGAUCGCGGGGAGAGAUAGGGACGCGGAGACACGGACCUUGGUGGGGAGACUCUCUCCUUCUCCUUCUUUCGCGUUCCCUGGCUCUCUCGAUCUCCGUCUUGCUCUUCUCUCGGCACGGCCGACUAGUCUGCCGUGAAUGGUAGUGCAUGUUCUUUCAACUCGGCUCAGUCGUGACAUUGAGUUCCCUUAUGUGGGUAGACGUUACGUAAUUCUGGCAACUUUGCGCGCCACUUUCCUCGCGAUGCCAUGCUCCGCUAAAAUUCCUCGUUUCUCUUGUUUCGCGCACGCUUCAACCCUCGCUCGAACCAACCAUGCGGAAGAUCCUAAGGAGACGGUAAAACGAUUUAACCGAGUUUCGGUCUAGCGAUCGAAGAGACGAAGGGGAUGGCAGAUCUAUGUGCAGCGAGUUUAGCUACUUGUUGAAGUCGGAGAAGAGGGGAACGAAGGCAAAAAUUCUUCCCCGAGACGCGAUAAAUCGUGGACCGAGUUUUUACAACACUUUACCAACGUACGAUUCAACGUUGCUAGGAUUCGAACGAUUAAAAGAAACGACUGAAGCAUACGGGUCGAAUAAUUUAUGCGUUUUAUCGAUCGGUCUGUCGGUUGCCCGGUCAAAAGUAAGUUCACCGCUAUCGUUCGAUUAGUUCGUAAAGCCGGAGCAACGUUUACACGAUCUUCCCUUAACUCGAAUCUUACGACCAGUUACCGACACCGGCCACUCGCAUUACGCUAAUAGUUGGACUCGAAUCUCUUUGGAGCUAACUCGAGUCGGGAGUUGUUCCUUUCCGGUGCAUCGCGGUGGUCGAAGAAAGAUGCAACUAUCUUGCGUUAGUUGUUUCUGAAGUUGACGUUGCUUUGCGUUCGCUCUCUUCGUUCGUCGGUCGGAUUAGAGGGCAGUCGACCAAUGCAACGAUACCUCUAUUAUAUUAUCGCAGUCAAAUUCUAUUCCUAGGUAUUUUUGUAAUAGCGCAGAGUCUUUUCAGACCGAGCAUCGUCUGCACUUACCCUUGACGAACGUUUCUUUGCGAGAAUACGCGAAUAGGUGAAUAUCGAGCAAAGGUGCGCGCGUCUUAGCUCUCUAGCGUUAUCGGCGUAACCUGUAUGCAUCGGACAUAAAACUGAAUAGAGGGAGCAUUUCGCGUGGCAGCUGCCACUCAAACGCGCCACCUCAUCCCAUUUAUGGAAAAAUACACGGAGAUGUAGCCAGAAAACUUUGCUCUUCCUUUCUCGUAAACGGCAGAAAGAAACGUCUUCGACAUUCAAUUAUCCGGCUCUUCUCUCGAGUGCGCGCGCUAAGCGUUACGGUGCUGCUUUUUAACCCCUCUCGCUCGUAAUUUUCCCUCGCGGCUCGUCGAGCUUCAUACAGAAAUUUCUCUACACCGGCUUCGAGACACUUCUUCGCGUGACCAAACAACGUCGUCGACGCUUCUCCUGCACCGCGACGCAUUAUACUCGUUCCUCUCUUAUUUCGACGCGGUUUCUUCUGGAAAUUUUUCUGUCGCCUCGAUGACCGACAAAAUUGGUUAUCGUUGGUGGAAAUCGAUCGUUGAAGGAAAUCGUAAAGAUGGGAGGUUUCCGUGGCGAGGAAUACAAUGAAAAAAAAAAAGAGAAAUCCAGCGAAAGACUCGAAAAAGAAGAGCGUCCGUUGUAACGGCGUGAGGAUCCCGCGCUAUGGUGGCGCAGGAGGUGGAAAGGGGCUGGGGGUGGGGAAUGUAAAGAGGAAGGGGAGAGGGAGGGAAGACGAUAAGGCGGAAUCAGGGAUUCGUAAAACGACGUAGCCGAGCACCGGAAUGGGUCGUAAUGCGCGGCGAACACAUAACCUUAAAAACAAGUAAGGGGCGAGAGACGGGGGGUGGUGUGCGAGGUUGGGCGCAGAGAGAAUGCGGAGGAGGAAACGGGGCAAGUCUCUGCCCGGUUUCUCGGUUGGCUUGCACGAGUUUGCGAGGGGCCGCGAGGGGCUGUGAGAAGCCGCGGGGGUAAAAGGGGGCAUAUAUCCCGCGCGCUUCGCGGAGGGGUGAGCGAACGUGGGCUGAGUCGGUGUGCUCCGGCGAAGAGAAGGUGGAUGUGCCGCACCGUAAACGAAACGAUGCCGUUGACGACAUUUGGAACAGAUAAUGGCGCGAAUGUGCCGCGGGGGUGAACGAACCGAGGGUCGGAUUGGGUUCGGUUGGGUCGGCUCGUCGUUGGCUUGUGUCGGGUUGGGUUGGGUUGGCUUGACUUGGCUUGGCUUGGCUUGGCUUGGCUUGGCUUGGCUUGGCCUGGCUUGGCUUGCUAUCACAUCAACUAUCGAUCUUAUAACGCUCUGUGACUCUCUGGUCCUCGUUGUCUCUUCGUUUCUACCUUUUUUUCCCUUUUUUCGUUCUUUCUCUUCCUCUAACUCGGUUCACGUGCCUAUUUAAGCUUGUUUGGCGCGACCUUCCCUCCGACUGCCCUCCUUAUCUCUCGAUCUUACCUUUCAUCUACCGUCAAACACGACGAACACAAGAUGAUUCGAAUUUUCCGUACAUUCUAUCGACACGAUCUAACGAGAACGAUAUUAAUCCUUCUUUUUUCUUUUUUCGUUGAGAGAUCGAAAGCUGAAGUUUCAAAGACUCGGGAGCACCCAUCCUCCUGUUACACCUCGAUUCUUCGUCCCCUUUACUUCACAGUCAGUUCCGACAUUUGCCACUAGGUCUCUGCUUCCUGACUUGGUUCCUCCGUUAGCUUCCGUCCGCGUCCUGUUUCUUUGCGCUUCCAUACACACGUUUGCGCACGGUUUCUCGUCUGGUCUUCUUCCGCCACCCUUCUUCUUCCCUCGAACGUUUUUUUUUCCUUGCUGUUCUAGCGGCGAAGCGGCUGCACCAGCACCGCUCACCGCGAUCUAGCUCACCCCCUACUUAUCUACCGGUUUCUCUUCAUGCGUGCCGGCCGCGGGGAUACGUGUAUACACGCGUGUACGCGCGUUACGCGUGCACGAGCCUGGAGACGUUAAUUUUCCGGGAAAUUAUUUCGCUGAGAAAAGCUGUCUCGGUGCCUCGACUGACUGCCGCUGCGGAGAACUUCCUCGAGUCGCGACAAUUGGACGAAGCGAAAGAACUCGAAGCCAGCGAAACGGCAUUCAUGCUCGUGACCCACAUGUAUCGGUGCCAACAACUUUGGCCCGAGGUAUCGUAUCGAACGAUACAUAGACCGAUCUGGUUGAUAGCUUAUUUGUACAAAGAAAUAGUCGCUUGCUGGGAAUACAUAUUCAUAUCACUAUUGUAUAUGUAUGUAUAUCUAAAAAAAAAAAAAAAUAAAAGAAAACAAAAUAAAGUAUGCAAGCUCGGCACAUUUGCAGCUACUUGUCUUAACGCGAUAUUCACACAACUGCUGUGUCUUUGAAAUUACGUAUUUUCAUAAGAAGCGAAAUAAAAUAAUAACGAGAUUGACACUGACGUUAUUGGUUAAAGGAUAUCUCGGAUAACGAAGUGGAUGGAAUAAUCAUAUUUUAGUAGCGACGAGUGUAUUAAUUGACUCGUGCAACUACGUAAUUAUUUUCUUUAAUCGAUAAACCAAGAUAGAAGCCAAACGUAUCGACGCGCUACUAAAAGAAACGAUUACUCGGACUUUAUUAACUCUGCGGUAGUAGCGAUUGAUCUGACAGAUAUAUUUUAAACUGACACGUCGUAAAUCUUGUCGACGAAGACUAGCUAUUACAUGAUAUACUGUAUCUUUCUAUGCUCACCGUUAGGGAACGAGUAUCGCUUGUAUUUCUCUGAAUGAGAGAAACUCCUCGUAUAUUUCGAAGGAGAAACGAGAAGGGGAAUAACGAAAGCGAAGGAAGAAAGGCAAGGAAAAGGAAAGAAGAAAACGAAGCAUGGAAGUAAAAAACAAAUGGUUUCGACCAAUCCUGGUUCAUAAAGAAGAAGAAAGAGAAAGAAGGGAAUAAGAGAAGGAAUAGAAGGAAAGGGAACUUUUAUGUUACUUUUAUUUCUGUUAAUUUCAGAACUCAACCAAAAAUUGCCUGAUGCUUGUCUAAUGCACGAUUUUUAUAUUCUUCUCGCAAACCUUUUCACUACCCUAUCCUCAAUUUAUCUUAUCAAAAGUUAAUCACGAUUUUUAACCGUAAAUGGGCUGCACGUGGUCCGAGCUUUUUACAAAUUUCUAACAGGGUUAAGCGAGCAGUAGCGUGAAUCGAACAAGAAGCGAGAACAGUACGUGGGCGACAUAUAGCGAGAGAAAGAGGGAGAGAGAGAGAGAGAAAGACUGAUAAAUAGAGGAGGACGGAAGGAAUACAGAGAAAGAGAAUCAUAUCUGUGGAUGAAGCAGCGUGGAAGCCGGAAGCCAGUUUCUCGGUAGACAGCUUUGGCUUCGUUUUAAACAAGAGUGGAGAUUGGUGUGCACGGGAACCGGUGGAGACGUGCCGAUCAGAGCUGUCAGGUUAUUGUCUCGGGUUUUAAUGGAACAUCACGAGGCGCGAAAUACCGCGGUGCUGAACUGAAUUAAAUGUCGGUGCGGCUUGUAUUGAGGACCUCGGCAUCAUCGUCGUCGUCGUCGUCGUUGUCGUCGUCGUCGUCGUCGUCGUCGUCGUAGUCGUCGUCGUAGUCGCCGUCGUAGUCGUCGUCGUCGCCGUAGUCGUCGUCGUCAUCGUCGUUUGGCGGUGGCGGCGGCGGUGGUGGCGUCGUCGAGGCCGAUGCAUAAUGGAGGUAGGCCAUUGGGUAGGUGGUACUUCAAUUCCGGGAGAAGAGGAGUUGACAGAGAAAGAGAGAAACGGCGUGGCUGAGAGAAACGAGCCGAGACAGACCGAGUGGUCGAGGUGAAGGGAAAGGAAGAACGGAAUCCGGUGGAAAACGAGAAACGGGGGCAAGAAAGACAGGAAAAGAGAGACGACGUUCGUGGUAGGAGAAACGGCGCUGAAUAAUUGAGGAGCGAGCAAUUUAGGGAUGGUGAGUCUCCCUAUUACCGUCAACCCUGCUGAACGGACUCGCGAUCUUCCCUUUCCAUCGCGUUGUGGCCUUGUCAUCGAAAACAGCUGCGAUUUUCGUGGCGAAGAAGUAUGCCUGCAAUAAUUAAAACCCCCUUACACCGUUAAUCGCGUUAAGGGAGCAUUUCGCUUAAUUAACUCGCGUCUUCUACACUGCGACGUUCGUCUGGUAUUCCGAGAAAGGAGAAAGGGUGCGUACCAGACAGCCUGUUCGCGCUCAGUUUCGACUACAACCGAGGGAUGACGCGCGGACGUCGCUUCUUCGCCAAAGAUCUUUCAUUGUCAAAGCUCCGAAACGACGCCUGCCCCCGAUUUCGUCCGAUUCUCGCGACGAUUAUAAAGCAGCACGCAGCAAGAUUUCGUUCGUGCAGCGGAUAUUACAGAGUAGUAGUGGAAUCGAAACGCUCGGAGAUGAGUUAGACGAAUAAAGAGUAACGGUCGUAAAAAGCCGCAUGUAGGUUGAAGACCGGAAAAUGCAUCGCGCGGAUGAACCACGACACUUCGCGUGCCGUUUUCGAUCUCCUAUGAGACAAGAUGUAACGUAAAAUGAUGUUACGGCUUCCACAUCCCAUUGAAAAGGAAGCGCAAAUUCCAUUUGUCGGCAGCACCGCGAAUAAAGACGUAGACGAACCUGGGGGAUAGCUUGCUAUCGAUUCGCGGUUCUUCCGGAAUAUUUACGUUCGAGCGAGAUUGACCCGCCGCUGGAAUUUUGUUUAAGGUUCCACAGAGCAGACCCGUUUGGCGUUUCGCCAUGCCAGAAUCAAUUACCAGAUAGCUGAAACCCACAGACGCUUCCACGUUGCCGAAAAACCAUAUAGUAUGGAACAAUCGUGGAAUUCAGAAGGGAAAUCAACCGAAACUAUCGGACGAAUCGAUAAAAAUCUGAAAGUAGACAGGGAAGCAGCGCGUUCGAAUCCCAACGUGUCCUGUUUACCGCGUGGAGCGCGGCUAACUUGUCGUUUGUUGCCUAUAAAAAGAUCGCAAAACGGCCGAUAGAGAGCUUGGUGGUCCAGCGCGGGAACACGUAAAGCAAAAGGGGAAAGAAGGACGGAUGCAAAGAGAAAAAUGCGAGGGGGAGAGAGAAGAAGAGAAGGAAAGCUGUAUAUCGAUGCAAGUAAGUACACAGGCGGUCGUGUCAGCGCGAGAGGGAUAUUUUUUCGAGAAGUCGCUCGAGAGACGCAUCUCGAUCGUGAAAGCGUGCUGGUCGGCCACCGGAAGUUGUCGCGCGUUUCCCUAACGCGGUAGGGGGAGAAAUAGCGUCGGGGCGAGGAUCGACGGGGCCUGGGUGUGCUGACGAGGAGGGAACAGAGGGAUCGACCAAGAACGACCAAGUGACACACACCAGAGACGACGCGAUAAAGAGGAAAGAGAGAAGAAAACAGAGACACGCGGUGAAACGAAGAGAAGAACGAUAGAGACACGAACUGAAGAGAAGAGAAGAGAAGAGAAGAGACGAGAAGAGAAAACAUGCGGCGCUUUUAAAUAUAGACGCGCGAGAGCGCGCGCAUAACCAUAGAUGCAGAGAAACAGAGAGGACCGCGUGUAUGCACGCAGAAGCGUGUUAUCAAAGGAUUGGAAGGCAGCCGAAGCGGCUCUGCAUGAAAUUUUGCGUGCAUUAUAAAUGCGCGCAGCCUUGCGGGUGGGAGCGAGACCGGCACUGUUCCUCCGAUAAAGACGAGAACAACGGAGAUCGAGAGACAGGUGAGCGAUGGGGAGAGGAACUGUUGGAGAGGAGAGGAGAAAAAGAGAAGAGCGGUGAGGAGAAGGUGAGGACAGAGGAGAGGGAGAGACGCGUAUGGAGCCCUGACCAGGCAGGGUUAGGUUGGGCCUGAAACGUUGGUUGGACGCGACUCUAACCUACCGUAACGCUAUAAAAAUAACGGCUACCCUCGUCCUUCUUUCACGCGACAUGCCCACCAUCUGGCCCUCUUUAUUCUUCCUGCUGGAUUAUCCUGCUUCCUCGUCGCACGAGCGACGAUCUUCUAUUGGCGGCGUUACUCUGUUACGCACGGUGCAGCAGGGACGAUGAUCAUCGAACACAGAACAGAGGGAGGGACGUGUGUGUGCGCUGCCGAGGGCGGAAGGGGUACGUAGUGCACGAGGAUAGAGAGAAAGAGUCCGUACGAUGUAUGUGUGUGUGUUGUGUGUGCGCGCGUUUACGAGCGUGUGUUUGUGCGCGCGCGAUCGGAAGAGGACAGCGGAGGGAUAAGAAAGAAGAGCCGUCCGGAGAAGAAGGUACUUACGCGUGUGCUUGCAUGCGUACGGAGUAUGUGUUACGUGAGAAGCCCGUUUACGUCGCGCAAAAAUUACUCUCGUUGUGUAUGAUUGCCCCGGAUUCGAUGUCGAUUCGAUGUCGAUUCGAUGUCGAUUCGAAUGCUCCCGUUCGUAGUAGCUUUUCGCGUAAUCUGCCAGCAGGCGCUUCCGAUUCGUCCCGCUCGUUAUUCCUGGCCGAAGACUUUAUUAGUCGAGGGCUGGAGAGACGAACCUUUGAAUUUUCCACACGUUUUCAACUGGAUUCACUGUGUCGAAAUCGAUCAUCCGUCUCUUGCAGUAAUUUUGUCGUUUGUAGUCGACGUUCGAUCCAUUCGCUGCGAGAAUAACGAACGGACGCAACUCGCUAUCGAAGGAGCGAGCAGCGGAUUAAAAUUUAAUUAAUCAUUAGGUGAUAAAAAAUUGGCUUGUCCGUUUAUUCGCUUUAACCAAACGCUCCUAAAUCAGAUUAACCAUCCCUUGUUCGAUGCUCUUCCCGAAUUAAUCCAUUUUUAAUUUCACCGUUAAGACUGUUUUUUAUUCGAAUUACUUACACGGUAUUCGCAAAUUUCCACCAACGUACUCUUCCGCCAAAAAAGGGCACUUUGAUCGUUGGUAAUUCCUCGGAAUCUGCUGUAAUCGCGUUUGAUCGUAGAAAACGAGGCGAAAAUAAAUAUUCGAAGAAGGAGGUGAAUCUUAAGAGGUCACGAUCGAAAAGGACGUCGAUUAAGAUUCCAACGCUCGAAGCUCGAUACACGAGGCAAGGAGGGAUAAAGGGUUACUACGAUGGCAGUCAUAUAAACGAGAUGGACGUUUCUCGAACCGGUUGGCACCUGCUCCACGGUGUGUUUCAGUCGGCCACGGCCUUUCGUUUAUAACGGAGAAGAACAAACCGAUCGAGGAGUGCAACGUGCAUCGUGGAUCGGCCAGUGGACAACGUGGAUCGGCGAGGGGAAGUGAGAGGGCAGGAAACGCCACGAAGAAAACGUGCAGCAAAACGGUCCGCUCGACACUUGCGGGCUAUCCUGUGAAGGUCGAUCUUCCGAACCAGAACAGUCGCGAGCUGUGAAUGCGAUCGUAUCUUUCGGAUUCACGCGUUCCGAUAAAUCGAACAGCGUCCGUUUAGUUUAAUACCGAUGCGCGAGCAAUGAUCGAGAUAUCGAAACGGAGAACGAGGACGAUACGACGAUGACGCAUCGUUGCCAGAUCGGUAUGGAAUGCAAACGAUGCGCCAAUCAGUAACCUCUUCGAUUCUGCUGUCUGUCUUCCUCGUUCUUUUCUUUGUUUCCAGUUCUGAUCUUUUAUCGUUCGAUUUCUUUGGAUGUCAACACGAUGCACGAAACUCGUAAAAGUAAAAGUAAAAGUAGAUACGUAUCAGUAAUCGUUAGAACUGUUAUUGCUAUGACCGAGCUUUGAAUGAUGCUACAAGAAAUGAUAUUUGUAUGUACAGUUGUCUUUUUAGAUCAGAUUCCACAUUUCACUUCUAUAGUAUCAACUUUUUACAGCGAUUUAAAUGUAUUACCAUAUGAGACGAAAUUUAAUACACCUACUGUAUACUUGCAUCUAAUUAAAUAGCGAAUGCUAUAACACGUAUAACAUCGUAUAAAUUUCGUAUAGUAGAUUGUACGCGUAAAUUUUUUAUGGGUGACUUUAUCAUGUAGCGAGAAGAAAGUGGAUCUCGGCGACACAGCGCGACCACAUCGCAAUUGCAUGCAAAAAAAGAACAACUAUAUUUGUCGCUUGACAAGGAUUAUUUGAAUAAUGUACUCUAUUAUAUCAACGUCUCAGAAAUCAAAUUGGUCAACUCCAUUUUCUAUAAACCUGCAGUUGCAUUAUUCGAAAUGAUUAAGAA